AUUGAACGCUGGCGGCAGGCCUAACACAUGCAAGUCGAGCGGAUGAAGGGAGCUUGCUCCUGGAUUCAGCGGCGGACGGGUGAGUAAUGCCUAGGAAUCUGCCUGGUAGUGGGGGAUAACGUCCGGAAACGGGCGCUAAUACCGCAUACGUCCUGAGGGAGAAAGUGGGGGAUCUUCGGACCUCACGCUAUCAGAUGAGCCUAGGACGGAUUAGCUAGUUGGUGGGGUAAAGGCCUACCAAGGCGACGAUCCGUAACUGGUCUGAGAGGAUGAUCAGUCACACUGGAACUGAGACACGGUCCAGACUCCUACGGGAGGCAGCAGUGGGGAAUAUUGGACAAUGGGCGAAAGCCUGAUCCAGCCAUGCCGCGUGUGUGAAGAAGGUCUUCGGAUUGUAAAGCACUUUAAGUUGGGAGGAAGAGCAGUAAGUUAAUACCUUGCUGUUUUGACGUUACCAACAGAAUAAGCACCGGCUAACUUCGUG
rnacentral:rRNA from 1 species